UGCCUGUGAUGAAGAAAAAUGUAUAAGAGUAGUGGACAGAAGUGGUUUCUGAAAGAUCCUUAUCUGAGGCU